rnacentral:rRNA from 1 species
AGAGUUUGAUCAUGGCUCAGAAUCAACGCUGGCGGCGUGCCUAACACAUGCAAGUCGCACGAGAAAGUGGGGGCAACUCCAUGAGUAAAGUGGCGCACGGGUGAGUAACACGUGACUAACCUACCUCCGAGUGGGGAAUAACAUCGGGAAACCGAUGCUAAUACCGCAUAACAUCUACGGAUCAAAGCAGCAAUGCGCUU